AUGAACGCUAGCGGCAGGCUUAACACAUGCAAGUCGAGGGGCAGCGGGGUGUAGCAAUACACUGCCGGCGACCGGCGCACGGGUGCGUAACGCGUAUGCAACCUACCCAUAACAGGGGCAUAACACUGAGAAAUUGGUACUAAUUCCCCAUAACAUUCGAAGAGGCAUCUCUUUGGGUUGAAAACUCCGGUGGUUAUGGAUGGGCAUGCGUUGUAUUAGCUAGUUGGUGAGGUAACGGCUCACCAAGGCGACGAUACAUAGGGGGACUGAGAGGUUAACCCCCCACAUUGGUACUGAGACACGGACCAAACUCCUACGGGAGGCAGCAGUGAGGAAUAUUGGUCAAUGGACGCAAGUCUGAACCAGCCAUGCCGCGUGCAGGAUGACGGCUCUAUGAGUUGUAAACUGCUUUUGUACGAGGGUAAACUCACCUACGUGUAGGUGACUGAAAGUAUCGUACGAAUAAGGAUCGGCUAACUCCGUGCCAGCAGCCGCGGUAAUACGGAGGAUUCAAGCGUUAUCCGGAUUUAUUGGGUUUAAAGGGUGCGUAGGCGGUUAGAUAAGUUAGAGGUGAAAUCCCGGGGCUUAACUCCGAAAUUGCCUCUAAUACUGUUUGACUAGAGAGUAGUUGCGGUAGGCGGAAUGUAUGGUGUAGCGGUGAAAUGCUUAGAGAUCAUACAGAACACCGAUUGCGAAGGCAGCUUACCAAACUAUAUCUGACGUUGAGGCACGAAAGCGUGGGGAGCAAACAGGAUUAGAUACCCUGGUAGUCCACGCAGUAAACGAUGAUAACUCGCUGUCGGCGAUACACAGUCGGUGGCUAAGCGAAAGCGAUAAGUUAUCCACCUGGGGAGUACGUUCGCAAGAAUGAAACUCAAAGGAAUUGACGGGGGCCCGCACAAGCGGAGGAACAUGUGGUUUAAUUCGAUGAUACGCGAGGAACCUUACCCGGGCUUAAAUUGCAGAUGAAUUACGGUGAAAGCCGUAAGCCGCAAGGCAUCUGUGAAGGUGCUGCAUGGUUGUCGUCAGCUCGUGCCGUGAGGUGUCGGCUUAAGUGCCAUAACGAGCGCAACCCUUGUUGUCAGUUACUAACAGGUUCCGCUGAGGACUCUGACAAGACUGCCAUCGUAAGAUGUGAGGAAGGUGGGGAUGACGUCAAAUCAGCACGGCCCUUACGUCCGGGGCUACACACGUGUUACAAUGGUAGGUACAGAGGGUCGCUACCCCGUGAGGGGAUGCCAAUCUCGAAAGCCUAUCUCAGUUCGGAUUGGAGGCUGAAACCCGCCUCCAUGAAGUUGGAUUCGCUAGUAAUCGCGCAUCAGCCAUGGCGCGGUGAAUACGUUCCCGGGCCUUGUACACACCGCCCGUCAAGCCAUGGGAGCUGGGGGUGCCUGAAGUUCGUGACCGCAAGGAGCGACCUAGGGCAAAACCGGUGACUGGGGCU
rnacentral:rRNA from 1 species